rnacentral:rRNA from 1 species
GAUGAACGCUAGCUACAGGCUUAACACAUGCAAGUCGCGGGGCAGCAUGGGGGUUGCUUGCAAUCCCCGAUGGCGACCGGCGCACGGGUGAGUAACGCGUAUCCAACCUGCCCUUCACCACGGGAUAACCCGGCGAAAGUCGGACUAAUACCGUAUGUUGUCCAUUGACGGCAUCCGAUUUGGACGAAAGGUUUGGCGGUGAAGGAGGGGGAUGCGUCCGAUUAGCUGGACGGCGGGGUGACGGCCCACCGUGGCGACGAUCGGUAGGGGUUCUGAGAGGAAGGUCCCCCACACUGGAACUGCGACACGGUCCAGACUCCUACGGGAGGCAGCAGUGAGGAAUAUUGGUCAAUGGGCGUAAGCCUGAACCAGCCAAGUAGCGUGCAGGAUGACGGCCCUAUGGGUUGUAAACUGCUUUUAUGCGGGGAUAAAGUGGCCCACGUGUGGGUUUUUGCAGGUACCGCAUGAAUAAGGACCGGCUAAUUCCGUG